rnacentral:rRNA from 1 species
CCUAGCAUACCAAGGCGCUUGAGAGAACUGCGUUGAAGGAACUCGGCAAAUUACCCCCGUAACUUCGGGAGAAGGGGGCCCCAUAUCUGGGCAACCAGGUGUGGGGGGCACAAGCCAGGGGGUGGCGACUGUUUACUAAAAACACAGGGCUCUGCGAAGCCGCAAGGCGACGUAUAGGGUCUGACGCCUGCCCGGUGCCGGAAGGUUAAGAGGAGAGGUGCAAGCCUUGAAUCGAAGCCCCGGUAAACGGCGGCCGUAACCAUAACGGUCCUAAGGUAGCGAAAUUCCUUGUCGGGUAAGUUCCGACCUGCACGAAUGGCGUAACGACUUCCCCACUGUCUCCAACGCAGACUCAGUGAAAUUGAAUUCCCCGUGAAGAUGCGGGGUUCCUGCGGUUAGACGGAAAGACCCCGUGCACCUUUACUAUAGCUUUGCACUGGUAUUCGUGGUGGCAUGUGUAGGAUAGGUGGGAGACUUUGAUCCGGGGGCGCCAGCUCUCGGGGAGUCAACCUUGAAAUACCACCCUUGUGAUCAUGGAUAUCUAACCGCGGCCCGUAAUCCGGGUCCGGGACAGUGCAUGGUGGGUAGUUUGACUGGGGCGGUCGCCUCCCAAAAAGUAACGGAGGCGCGCGAAGGUAGGCUCAAGCUGGUCGGAAAUCAGCUGUCGAGUGCAAAGGCAUAAGCCUGCCUGACUGCGAGACUGACGAGUCGAGCAGAGACGAAAGUCGGCCUUAGUGAUCCGGUGGUCCCGCGUGGAAGGGCCAUCGCUCAACGGAUGAAAGGUACGCCGGGGAUAACAGGCUGAUGAUGCCCAAGAGUCCAUAUCGACGGCAUCGUUUUGGCACCUCGAUGUCGGCUCAUCACAUCCUGGGGCUGGAGCAGGUCCCAAGGGUUCGGCUGUUCGCCGAUUAAAGUGGUACGUGAGCUGGGUUUAGAACGUCGUGAGACAGUUCGGUCCCUAUCUGCCGUAGGUGUAGGAGAAUUGAGAGGAUCUGUCCUUAGUACGAGAGGACCGGGAUGGACGCACCUCUAGUGGACCUGUUGUCGCGCCAGCGGCAUAGCAGGGUAGCCAAGUGCGGACGGGAUAACCGCUGAAAGCAUCUAAGCGGGAAACCCACCUCAAAACUAGUUCUCCCUUGAGAGCCGUGGAAGACCACCACGUUGAUAGGCUGGAUGUGGAAGCGCAGCAAUGCGUGUAGCUAACCAGUACUAAUCGCUCA